GUAUGAGCUACAAGCUAGAUAGGCUGAUAGACGUUUCCAAUCGCCUCGCUACCUCCUGAAAUACGAUAAUGAUAACCAAUUUAUCCACUAUCGAAUCGAGAAACCUUAAUAUCUAAUAAUAUAACAUAAUUUAAAUGCUCUUGAUACUUAAAUAAAUUCUCAAAUUUUCCUUUAUUAAUUGGAGCUAAUCACACCUUAUAAUCCCUUGGUUAAUCACUAAUUUAUCAACAUAACCAUCAUUUCAAAUUUAAAACUAAUUUUAAUCUCCAAUCUAAUGAAACUAGUAACCACAAUUCCCCCCACAUAAUAUAUAUUUGUUCCAUAAAAUAAAUUCCCAAAUGAAACAUUUCAUUUACAUAAUCACUUCACAAUUAAUUAAUUAAAAUCCCCAAAAUCGGAUUCUAGGGUUUUCCCAAAAAUUUGACAUCUCCAUACCUUACUAAAAAUUUGAAAUGAAUAAAUCCCCACACUUGAGCUCCAAUUCGUGCAAAUAUCCCUAAAAUUCGACAUAUUAUUCAACAAGUUAAAACCCUAAAAUUUUUAACAUAAUUCAUACUUUAUCACCUAAAACAAAUGGAAAAUUUCAACCCAACUUGAAGAUAUCAACCUUACCUCCUUUCCUCUUCUUUUUCCUUUUUCUUUUCCUUUUUCCCUUCUUCUUUUCCUCUUUUUCUCUUCUUCUCUCGGUCUCUGCCUCCCGUAAGUUACUGUGUGUGUGUAAAAUGGGUCAAAGGUUUGAAUUAAUUGGUCCAAAACCCAUAAUUGCAAACUAAGUCCCUUAACUUCACUUUUUAGUAACAUUUAAUCCUUUAACUUCCCAAAGUAUAUAUAUAAAUUCCAAACUUUUAAAUAUAUCCAAUUCAACCUUUAUAUUUUGCCAAUUGCAAAAUAACCCAAAUAAAAUAUUUAAUUUCAUUUUAGUCCUUG
rnacentral:lncRNA from 1 species